UUUAUGAAGAUAUAUUCAAACAUGCGUUUGAGGUGAUUUAUAUUAAAAUGACAAAUCAAUUAUUACAAUAUUAAUUUUUUUAAGAAUUUAAUGUUAUUAAACUUAUAUCUUUAUAAAUAAAGUUGAAGUAUCUGCCUUCUUAGGCGUCCACGUCGCUCUGUAGAGAGGGGAAAAAGAGGACAGUGUCAUCCUCUCUUUCAAAGAUAAUUAUUUUUCGGUUUGCCCAAAUCUUAAUCCUUCAUUUCGAUGGCGACUAAUUUGAGGCGGAGGAUUAGCCAGAGAUGGAAGGAAAGUGGGUAGGGAGGACGCCGGAGGGAGUGGGACUGGUGGUGAAGCUAGCUGGUGGCGAUUAAGUAGCAGAGAGGGAUGAUUGCGAAGGUGGCGCGUUUUGUUGAUCAUAAAACGAGAGAUAAGUAUUUUUUGUCGCUACCUGCUAAAAAGAUAUGUGGAACUUUAAGUCAAUGACAGAUGAUGAUCCAAUGAAGUUUGGGUUUGGCUCACCAGCAAUCAAAGAUAAGAAGAAGAAGAAGAAGGCCUUCAAGCUGUGAGUGUAAACAUACACCAUAUGCUUCUUAGAUCAUAUAUAACAUUUGACGAUCCAUCCCUAAUCAAUCAGGUUCCAUCUCUUUCUCUCCCUCUCUCUGUUAUCCAUCGUUUCUCACUAUUUCUAAUCAGUUUUUCAUGAUGCCUUCGUUUGAGCUAAUUGUAUAUGUGUGGUUACGGAGUUGCCGGAACUGGGUAAAGAUUAUUCUGCUCAUAUGCUUAAUUAGUACACUCACAGAUGAUAAGCUUUCUGUAUUGGAAGUGGGGGGUCUUCUUUUGAGAUGCCAAAACUGGAUGUUUUAAAAUGUUUCUCUAAUUGAUUUGCUAUAAUUUGAGGAGGCAAAUUCAGUAGACAGAUCGUCAGAGAAGUGGUCUUCUUCUGCUUGAAGGUAAAACGUAAGCCAAUCUGAAGAAAAGUACAAGAAGAGCAAGGGUUGGCGGUUGCAAUUUUGCUCCUACUCUCCAUCGACAAUAUAUGAGCUCAUGUUGUGUCUCAGUUCUGACUCAUGUCUAACUCCCCCACCACAAAUUCAUACACAACAAUAGACAAGAAAUAGCUCAAAUUUUAUCUGAUCACCGGCCAUACAGGCUCUGCAAUAGUUCCAAGUAUAUGAAGACAACUUCAAACUCUCCAAACAGAUCUCAAAAAUGCAAUCGUGCAUUCCGAACUGAGCCUGAGCAUCUUAGAGAGCAUGCCAAAGAAGGAACAAAUGCAAUUUCUUAUGAACCUGAUGUGGAGAAGACCCUAAGGAGAAACACUUCUUCAAACCCCUUUCGAUAUACCCGAAACCGCACAGAAAUCACUCACUCACCCAUCUGCUUCAUGGUGAUUCUUGCAUAGAUGAGAAAUGAUUAGCACAAGACGUUUGUUGGUUGUUUAAUAUUCAUGCGGGAUAUUGUCUCCUUCACUAUUUGGUAAAGCUAGAGGAAACUGUGCAACAAAUAUACUAUGGUUAAAUUAUAUAUUCGAUGGGGCUGAUUAUUUGAAUUGGUUGAGCAUGAGAAUUUUUCUUUGUCAACUAGCAGGAGAUUUACUUAUAUAAUUUGUACUGUGAUGCUUGAUUUACGUGAUUUCUUUUUAUGUAAGGUAGCAAGUAGAACAAUAUUUUCUUUUGAUCAAACAAGUAGGACAAUAUACUCAAAAAGUAUUAUUAUCAGGCCAAACCAUUGAUUUUGAAGAGUGAAUGUUUAACUGUGAUGGAUAAAACAUACUGACAGGAAGAAAAGGAAUAAAAGGAAUAAAACAAUAAAUCAUCACAAUGAAUUACAGAUGUGAAUAGCAGAAACUCCAAAAAGAGAAAGCUUGAUAGCAUUUGAAGAAAAGGAUAUAUGUAUUGUCCUGAAUAUCAUAAUUACCCAUGGUUUAAGACUUUAAGUAAUCGGUGACUACCAUCUCCAAUUAGAUGAGCAUUGUUUGGUGACAAUACAUCUAUCUACAUAUAUAUAUAUAUAUAUAUAUAAUAUAAUAUAAUAUAAUAUUUUUGUUCAUCUAAAUCAAUACCUAGAAAUGAAAAGAUAUUUUGUGAAAUCAUUUUAACAGUAAUUAAAAAGUGAGGAAACAACCAAACUUAUAAUAUCUACGAAAUAAAUAUCAGUCCCAUCUUUUACAACUUAUACGUCUACCACCGUAGCUUGAAUUUGCGAGCAUGUAACUUUGUUCAGCAUGGACAACUGUGUAGUUACGGAUACAUAUGAAAGAAAAUACCUUCAAUAAAAUAUCAAUUAUGACCACUUUAUUUGACAAAACCACAGAUCAAAUCUAAACAACUUACAUGGAUUCAUAUUUGAAGUACACAAAUAUACUGAAUGAAUGAAAUGUAAAAAAAAAGUUUCCUAAGCAAUAACUCAGUAACUACAAUCUAUAGAAAGAAAAUAAGAGUAACUAAAAAUUAAAACAACACGGACAUAUGGCUAUAUUUUCUUCACCAAACAUAAUAAUUUUUGUAUAACGUUGAUAUUUAUCUAUACGGUAUAAUAUUAGAAAAAAACUCUACCAUGAUUCUUUUAUUAAAAUUGAAGUUAAAUUUUUUUUUUUUGCAUAGUUUGGAUGAACUUGGUAAAAUACAAUGACCAUACAAAAAGAUGGUAACGUGACUUUCGGAUAUUUGAAUGAUACCAAAAAGAUGCACAUGGUGAAUAGAUAAGUUAAGAAACUAAUGGAUAUUGCUAGUGUAACAACUUGUCUAUUAUUAAAAGGUAAAGCUAACUUGCUGUAUUUAUCAUUCAACUAAUUAAUCAAUUUACCCACACUAAUUAUAUUCAAAGAAUCAAGAAGCAAACGUCAAAUUUGGUAAAUAUCAUCCGAAGCCAAGAACAGGCAAUAGACGAUAUCGAUAGGAUGACCAACCAUAGUGCAAGAAACAGAUCUUAUAAUCUAACACAAAUCUAUAAAACAUACAGAGAACAUGAUUGUUCGUUCAUGUACAUAAAUAAUUAAGAAAUUCAAAAUGUCUAUUUAAAGAAGUAAUUUUUUUUUUCACUAAACAUUACAGUUGAAUCUAUCUACGGUAGUCAUAAUCUAUAACAUGAUUCUUUAUUAGUUUAGCAAUUACAUAUGCCCGUUUCUUAGAAACACUCCUAUAAUUUUCUGUGAUAGUAACUCAGUUUGUUACUUUGCCUUAGCAAUAAACUAAAAACUUGAGGAUUUUGUAAUAAACUAAAGUCGAGACCUUCCAAAAUCUACCACCUAUUAAAGAACACAACGGUUCCUAUAAGUAUUAACCGAAACAAAACCUUAGAUAGAGGAGAAUAUCAGAGCAUCUAUUCCACAUUGCUACAACAGGUUUUUAGAUACUUCUAAUUUCUUGAAUUUGACAUUAAUCCUAGAAAAUCAAGAAAGGUGAAUUGCACAUUCUAACUACACACAAGGAUUCAAAAGAUUUUCAAGCUUCAUCAACUGAGUAAGACUAGGAGACCAAGGGAUAGGCUGUAACAAUUACUAGAGUGUAACGAAGUAAUUAACAUCAGCAUAUGAGAAUUGUGAACUUGUCAUUUCACAUGUUUAGAAAUGAUCACAAAGGGUUUAGAGUAAUAAAACAAAGCCUAAACACUCAAGAUUCAAGAAAACUAUUACCACAAGCGACAUGAUACAUCAUACAUACAAGCACCAAACAAAGUAACAAUAUAAACACGAAAUAAAAUAUAACUUUUCAUGAAAGGAUAUAUUACCAAUCAGUUUAGAAUUCUACGGAUACUUAAUCAAAUAGUUAGUAAUUAUAUGAAAAGACUUAUAAAGAAACAUUUAUGAUGCUUAAAUAAUAUUUCUUAUAAGGAUUAACAAGCAAUAAGUUUCUACAAUCUCACGAAUACUAGACCGAUGCCAAAAAUAUUGCCAAGACUCAUAGACUUGAUAACAGAUAAAAAUCACUGUUAUUGUAAAAACUCAAGUCAAUGUAUACAAUUUAUAGAAUCUAACACAAUAUUCGUUAGCUUACUAUGCGGAGUUGUGAAUAAGUCAUUUCACAUGUUUACAAUGAUCACUAAGGAUUAAGACUUAGGAAUAUAACACAAAGCAGAAACGUUCAAAAUAAAGAGACUACAACCACAUUAUGCAGAAGACUCUCACCUACGUUGAUCUAGAAGUGACCUCUUAAAAAUAAGAUACAUUAUAAUACAUAUAAACACCAAACUAAUUUAAAAUAGUAACUUUUUUCUAAUCAACAUACAUAUUACUAACGCAAUUUAGAAUGAUCACUGAGAGUAAGAGGAGCAUACACACAAAACAGAUACAUUCAAAAUUCAAGGACUAAAUACUCACACAAUGUAUAUGAUUUUCGCAUGUUGAUAUACAAGAGACUCUAAAAUAUACCAGUUACAUUUGUUUAUCUAAAGAGAGACCUUAUUCAUAAAAGCAUCAAACUAAAUAGAUACUAACAACAUGAUGGAAUCUCUAACCUAUGUUGAUUUACCAGAGAAUCCAAAAUACAUUGAUUUCAUAAAAUGAGACACCUUAUAAUACAUACAAGCAACAAAAUAAAGACAUUCUAACACGUUUAGAAUGACCACUGAUGGUUAAACGCGUGACACAAAUCAAAAACAUUGAAGAUUCAAAGAACAACCUACUACCACAGUUUACAGGAGUCUCUCACCUACCUUGAUCUACAAGAGACUCCUAGAUACUUCAUACGUCCAAGCACGAAAUUAAAGAUAACAGAGAUUGAACAUUGUAAACACAAUGCAAUGUUUCAAUAUUAAAAAAAGAAUCUACUUGUUCAUCAAUGGGUUUUUCAGCAGUCAGUUUUUAGAAUCUCAUGGAUGCUAAAUCAAUGAGAAACGUUGUCACUUACUUAGAUUAAACAUUGUAAACACAAUGUAAUGUUCCAAUAUUAAAAAAGAAUCAACUUGCUCAUCAAUGGAUAUGUUAGCAGUCAGUUUUUAGAAUCUCGUGGAUGCUAAAUCAAUGAGAAACGUUGUCACUUACUUAGUUUGUAUUCAUAUGUAAUAAUAUCAAAUUGUAAGAGAAAAAGUGAAGAAAAGCAUAUACCUGAACAAGCGUCAAUGAGGAUAUGAACAAUACCUAAACAAAUGUAACUAGUAUUCACUUCAUAAUUGAAUGUAUCAACUAAGUAACAAACAAGUUUUGAAAAGCACAUACCUGUCAAAGAAAUCUGAUACACUUGAAAUCGUCUCUGAGUCUUCUGAAGCACAUACAAAACCUGAGGAAAUCAUAAAUCUAAUUAGUCUUUAGUUGACGCAAAAUGCCUCAUAGUUACCCUGUAAGUGUAAAAUAAGGUUAUAUAUAGUCUUUUUCUUAAGGCUUGCUUUAUGGGACUGAAUGUUUUUUUCUAUCCAACAAGUUCAAAUGUGAUGAAGACAUUUUCAUUCAGUCUUUGUCUGAAAACUUAUUUUUAGGCAAGCCGUGGGUACUGAUGUGAUGAAGACUUGUUCACUCACAGUCUUUGUCUAGAACUUUUUUACAAAGCUGUGGGUACAAAUGUGAUGAAUACGUUUUCAAUCACAAUCUUUUUCUUGCAAAGCCGUGGGUACUGUUGUGAUGAAGACGUUUACAAUCACAGUUUCUGUCUAAAGACUUUUUUUGCAAGCCGUGGGUACAAAUGUGAUGAAUACGUUUUCAAUCACUGUCUUUGUCUAAAGACCUUUCUUGCAAGCCGAGGGUACAAAUACGUUUACAAUCACAGUCUCUGUCUAAAGACUUGUUUUUUUAAGCCGUGGGUGCUGGACUUUUAAAGCUGUGUGUAAGUAAUGGAUCUGGUUUAGAUGUAGAGUCUUUGUCUGAAGACUUCUCUCAAACCCUUAAUAAAGCCGUGGGAGCAAGAUUUUCCGAUUAGUUUGCAUAACUUGUGAUCGUUAUUUCCAUUCAACAAGUUCAAAACCAAUUCAUAGUCUUUGUGUAAAGAGACCUUUUUGGCAUGCAUCUGUUUUCAGUUACCAGCCUUUGUCUUAAUACUAUUUUCAUAAGCCGUGGGUACAAACGUGAUGAAAACUUAUUUAAUCACAGUCUUUGUCUAAAGAGACCUCUUUUUCAAGCCGUGAGCACUAAUGUGAUGAAGAUAUUUUAAUCAGUCCAUUUUGCAAAGCCGUGGGUACAAAUGUGCUGAAAAAGUUUUCAAUCACAGUCUUUGUUUAAAGACCUUUAUCGCAAGCCGUGGGUACUAAUUUGAUGAUUCACACAGUCUUUGUCUCAAGACUUGUUUUGAAUCCGUGGGUACUAACGUAAUGAAAACGUUUUUUCAAUCAGUCUUUGUCUAAAGAUUUGUUUUUUUUUAAGCCGUGGGUACUAAAUUUUGUCACACUUGGCAUCUUCAAACAUCUUUUUGCUUUAUAGAGCCGUGGAUAAAGCAAUGGAUCUGGUUUAGAUUUAGAGUUUUUGCCUAAAGUUGUUUUUAUAAGCCGUGAGUACUUAAUGAAUCCAACCUUUUAUAAGUCGUGGACUACUAUAAAUGUUUUUCAACUCGUAGUCUUUGUGCCUUAAAAGACGUUUUCUGAACCGUUGGUCGUUUUUCCAUCCAACGAAAGAUUCGCAAGCUGUGUGUUCCAUUCAUAGCAUUUGCCUUGAGACUCCAUGUUAAGUCGUUGAUUGACUUUUAUAAAGCCGUUGGUCGUUAUUUCCAUCCAACAAAGUUGAAAAUCAAUGUAUAGUCUUGUCGUAAGACUUUUGCACUCUAAAUAUAGUCUUGCAAGCCGUGGGUACUAAUCACACUUGGCAUCCCCAAACAUCAUCUGCUUCACAUAGACGUGGGUAAGCAAUGAAUCCGGUUUAGAUUCAAGAAGUCUUUUGUCUAAAGAACUUUCGUGCAAGCCUUGGGUACUGUUGUGAUGAAGUCUUCGCCAAAAGACCUUUUAUGCAAGCCGUGGAUACUAAUGUCACAAAGACGUUUUCAAUCACAGUUGCAAGCCUUCGGUACAAAUGUGAUGAAGACGAAUGUGUUCACUCACAAUCUUUGCAAAGCCGUGGGUACAAAUGCGAUGAAGACAUUUUCAAUCACAGUCUUUGUCAAAAGACUUUCUUGCAAGCCGUGGGUACUAAUGUGAUGAAGACGUUUUCAAUCAGUCUUUGUGUAAAAGCCUUUUUUUUGGCAACUGUGUCUACUAAUGUGAUAAAUACAGUCUUUGUCUAAAGACUUUCUUACAAUCACAGUCUCUGUCUAAAGACUUGUUUUUAAGCCGUGGGUACUAGGCUUGUUUUUUUAAGCCGUUGGUACUAACAUGACGAAGACGUUUUCAAUCACAGUCUCUGUCAAAAAACUUGUUUUUUAAGCCGUGGGUACUAAACUCGUUAUUUCACGCAACGAGACUCGGGACAAUUAGUUUUCAUCACUUGUGGUCGUUAUAUCCAUCCAACAGUUUCACGCAACGGGACUCAGGGACAAUUAGUUUCAUAACUUGUGGUUGUUAUUUCCAUCCAACAAGCUCAUAACCAAUUCAUAGCCUUUUGUCUUAAAGACAUUUUGUAAGCCGAUGUUCUUUAUCCAUCCAUCAAUUUCAUAGUCAUAGCCAUAACCAUAGUCAUUUUAUGUCUUAAGACUAUUUUAAGCCGAUGGUUGUUUUGUAAAAAGCCGUGGGUACUAAAGACUUGUUUUUUAAGCCGUUGGUACUAAAUUGUGUCACACUUUGCACCCUCAAACAUCCUUUGCUUCAUAGAGCUGUGGUUAGGCAAUGGACCUGGUUUAGAUUUAAAGUAGUCUUUGUCUGGAGACUUCUUUCAAACCGUACAUACCAAUAUUGAUAAAGCCGUUGGCUUACUUACUUUUCAGAACUUGUGAUCGUUAUUUAAAACCAAUUCAUAGCCUUUGUGUUAAGGAAUUUUUUUCAACGAUCUCAUAUCCUUAGACAUAGUCAUGUUCUGUCUGAAGACAUUUUGUAAAGCCGUGGGUACGAAAGUAAGUUUUACUUACCAUCCCCAAACAUCUCUCGCAUAGACAUGCACUACCAACCAAUAGUUUUUAGAGCAAUUGGGACGAUCUCAUAGCCUGUCUUAAACUUUUUUUGCAAAGGCGUUGGUAUUUUCUAAGCCGUGGGUACUUUCUAAGCCGUGGGUACUAAUCUGAUGAAUACAUUUUCAUCAGUCUCUGUAUAAAGACUUUUUUUUUUGUAAGCCAUGGGUAUAAAUGUGAUGAGGACGUUCUCAAUCACAGUUUUUGUCAAAUGAUUUUUUUUUGCAAGCCGUGGGUACAAAUGCGAUGAAGACGUUUUCAAUCACAGUCUUUGUCAAAAUACUUUCUUGCAAGCCGUGGGUACUAAUGUAAUGAAUAUAUUCUCUCUGUCUAAAGUUUCUUACAAUCACAGUCUCUAUCUAAGACUUGUUUUUUAAGCCGUGGGUACUAAAUUUUCUCACACUUUGCACCCUCAAACAUCCUUUGCUUCAUUGAGUUGUGGUUAAGCAAUGGACAUGGUUUAGAUUUAAAGUAGUCUUUGUCUGAAGACUUCUCUCAAACCGUGCAUUCCAAUAUUAAUAAAGCCGUGGGUUUACUACUUUUCAUAACUUUGUUCGUUAUUUCACGCAACGGGACUCGGGACAAGUAGUUUUCAACACUUGUGGUCGUUAUAUCCAUCCAACAGUUUCAUGCAACGGGACUCGGGACAAGUAGUUUUCAACACUUGUGGUCGUUAUAUCCAUCCAACAGUUUCACGCAACGGGACUCGGGACAAGUAGUUUUCAUCACUUGUGGUCGUUAUUUCCAUCCAACAAGCUCAUAACCAAUUCAUAGCCUUUUGUCUUAAAAGACUUUGUAAGCCGAUGGUUGUUUUGUAAAAAGCCGUGGGUACUAAAGUAGGUGUUACUCUCCAUCCAUCCCCUGCCAAACAUCUCUUUGCACUACCAACCAACCAACAGUUUCUAGGGAGAUGGAUUUAGAUAUUUUAUUGGGACUAAGCUAGCUUUCACGCAACAGGGACUCGGGACAAUAUGUCCCCAAAAUAAGAAUCUGGCUAGAACACUAUUAGAUUAGUGUCUGCCUAUGAUCUUUUUGGAGUCUGAUAAAAAAAAACGUAAUGUAAGAGAACUUAUCUGUUUUUUGUUGCCGUUGAACUCAGAGAUUCACACUUAUCAUCAAUCUGUCAAUGAUGGAUUCUCCACAUCCACAUUCU